UCCGUAGGUGGAUAAUUAAGUCAGGGGUGAAAGUCUGCAGCUCAACUGUAGAAUUGCCCUUGAUACUGGUUGUCUUGAGUCAUUAUGAAGUAGUUAGAAUAUGUAGUGUAGCGGUGAAAUGCAUAGAUAUUACAUAGAAUACCAAUUGCGAAGGCAGAUUACUAAUAAUGUACUGCCACUGAUGGACGAAAGCGUGGGGAGCGAACAGGAUUAGAUACCCUGGUAGUCC
rnacentral:rRNA from 1 species